rnacentral:rRNA from 1 species
AUGUAAUGUAAUGCCUACAGUGUUAAUGAAAUGGAUCCCAUUGGAACUCCACAGUUAAGUGUGCUUGGGAUAGAGUAGUACUGGGAUGGUUGACCUACUAAGAAGUCCCAGUGUUUUACAUG